GCGUAGGGUACGUAGGUGGAUAAUUAAAAUUACAGUUAAAGACUGAGGUACAACCUCUUUACUCUGUAAUCACUGGUUAUCUUGAGUUCUGAAGGCAGUUUAAGUGAAUUCUUGAAGGAAGGGUGAAAUUGUUGAUAUUGGAAGACAUUCGAAAGCGAAAGCACAUUCUGAUUCUGAUCUGACACUAGGUACUAAAGUAUGGGGAUAAAUAGGAUUAGAGACCUAGUAGUCCAUACCUUAACAAUGAGUGUUCAACAUCUUUUAGGAGUAUGGAUCGUACUUUUUAAUAGUGUACGACCAUAUUUCUACUGGGGGUUUAAAGCUAACGCGUGAAACACCGCCUGGGGAAUGUGGCCGCAAGGUUAAACUCAAAGGAAUUGACGGAGACUUAUACAAGG
rnacentral:rRNA from 1 species